UACGUAGGGUGCGAGCGUUAAUCGGAAUUACUGGGCGUAAAGCGUGCGCAGGCGGUUUUGUUAGCCAGAUGUGAAAUCCCCGGGCUUAACCUGGGAAUGGCAUUUGGGACUGCAGGGCUUGAGUGCGGCAGAGGAGACUGGAAUUCCUGGUGUAGCAGUGAAAUGCGUAGAUAUCAGGAGGAAUACCGAUGGCGAAGGCAGGUUUCUGGGCUGACACUGACGCUCAUGCACGAAAGCGUGGGGAGCAAACAGG
rnacentral:rRNA from 1 species